CCUCUUGCACUUUCAUCCUUGCCUCCACAUUGUCUUCCAAAAGAAUCCAAAAACUCAACAACUGUUUUAAAUGUUGUUUAAUAUUAUGUAAUUGUCAUGUCUUAAUACUAGAGGAAUGUGGCCGACACCCAAUACCUUAAACUUCCAUUGGACAAAUUGCUAAACUUAGGAGCCAUGAUAAAUAGUGCAUGUGGCAUAAGUAAUCAUUCAUAUCUAUAGAAUAUAACAUAAAACUCAUUGUCUUUCAACACAUAUUCAACUUCAUACUUUAAUCGUGAAAUGCAUAGAGAGUAUUAUCUUGAACAUAAUUGAUAAGCUGGUACUUUAUCAAUUUAUCUAUAUUUUUUGCUUUAUCAAUGCAUAGAGUAUUAUCUUCAUACUUUAUUUUGUUAUAUUUUUAUAGAAAAAAAUGGAGCACUCAUUGUGGUCUUUAGUAUGUUACAUUUUUUAUAUGUUGGAGAAAGUUAUGAAAAAAAUUACAAGUCAAAAGCAAGCUAAAUUGAUUUAGGAAAAAAAAAACUAUACUCGGUAACAGAGGUCCGCUGUGGUGAGUAGAUGAUUCUGUUAAUGAAGUCAAUGUAAAAGUAGACCUCAUGAAAGCAAGGUCUAAUCCCGUGAUUGCAGAGUCAACAGUUUGAUCAAAGCUCGCUUUAGCGAGGUCAGAUCAAGUUAGCGUAAGUGUUGCUAGGGUUAAACACCUGUGUUUGCAAGGUUUUGUUCCACAAUAGCGAGUAAGGUAAAGAUUUUCUGAAAUUUUAAAUCCAUUUGAUUUCCCAUAAUUGUGGAAGACUCUGUCUUGCACAGUUUUUGAAGGUGAUUUUUGACAUAACGCCUUGGAGACUUCUACUACCAUAUAAAUACAGAGGGUGCACAAUUUGUUGAUUA